UUCACGUGAAAAAAAAUAAUAUGAAACGUUAAUUUUCGAAUGCAAAAAGUUUUCGCCCUCAACCAAUUAGCUCAAAAAUUUAUAGACGGCUCUCUCUUGGUGUUCUCUCCCCAAACCCUAAGAACCCCAAAAUAAAACUGCUGCUGCUGCCGCCGGUGUGUCUAGCUUCGGCGGGGCGUAUCAGAUGGCGAUUCCUCAUCCCCUACGCUGAUUAAUCCUCUCAGUUCUUAACCCCUAAAUCUGACUCCAUUUCCCUCUCUCCUUCGUCUGCUACUUCGCUUCGCUGUUUCAUUUUGAAUUUUUUUGUUGCAGGUCUGCUCCAUCACCGCUGCUCCAAACUACUCCACUACCCAUCUUCCUCCAUCUUAGUUGAUCGCCUUUAGCUAUUCCGAUGAUCGAGCUCAACUCGGAUCCAAACCAUGGCGACUUAUCCUGGUAUGAUUGGAACAUUUGGAGUCUUCUUUGAUCACCGCCACCUCUUCUCCACCAAGAAAAACUCUAGCUACCUGAACGCUCACUGUCAACAAUUUACCAACGUAGUCCGAUGGUACCUACCUGUUUGAUGUUCUAUCUGCUACCCUAGUGUCCACGAGAAGGUUACCUCGGUCUAAUUAGUUUGUCGAUAGUUGUUCGGUCCUGUCUUGUGUCGGGUACGAUUUGUUUGGAUUAUUGUGGGUGUGAUCCCAUGAUUUUUUUUCAUUUUGCUUCUGGGCCAAUUUGACAAAUAAGGGUUUAUUUGAACCCAGUAGUUUUCUGACUGGUACAAACUCUGGCAGACUCAUGGCUGGAAUAGACUCCAGCAGCAUGGAGGCCGGAUUGGCGCUGACAAUGCCAUGUGGUAGUUAACGUAUAUUAUUUGUACUGACUAAUAAAUUAAUUCUUCUUCGCAAAAAAAAAAAAAACCAACUGGGUCAACACUAGAAAUUCCACCCAUAUCCUCUAAGAUGAGCUCUUCUUUGCUUUCACAUAAGGAGAGGCUAAUUCACAUGGAAAAACAUAAGAACAAGUUUUUUAUUAUCUCCAUUUCAUUCCUCACCCUCCAUGGAGCAGUUUUUUUACUUUAAUAAUUAUUAAUCUAUCACAUAGCAGACUAAUUAAUUAGACCAACGAGGUUACAACUCCCGGCUGCUUGUCGUUUUGCACCAGCUACACACAAUUAUAUGAGAAAACAAAAACUUUCCAGACAUAUUAUUUCAUUAAACAAAGACCUUACCUAAUUGUCUACCGAUUAGGGAAAAAAAGAAAAAAAAAUGGAAAAGAAAAGGAAAGACAAGACCUUAUAAUUUAAUGAAUAUUGAUGGCUACAUAAACGUAUGAUCUCAGCUCAAAUCUCAGUGUCUUCAAAACCCUUCAGACCACAUAGAGAGUUAUUCUCAUUCAUUAGGAAAGAUCAGCUCCGAGGGAGUGCAUCAAACGGUCAAUCAUGUCAUCCAAUGAAAGUUGUGUGGAGUGCAUGUGUGGCUGCGUUAUCAUGUCAAUCUGUGCAAUCGUUGCGCCCGUGUUCUAUCUGCUGACAUGUUGCUUCUGCUGCAAUACGUGUGGGACUUGCAUGGAUUGAUUGAUGAGGGCGCCAACACUUGGAUCCACAAAUUUGUAGCGAGUUAAUACAUGGGUUUCCGAAAUUUUUUUUUUCACUGAUUUAGUCCUUGAAUUUUCACAAACUAUAACAUAAAGGGCUUUUCAGGGACUUAAAUGUUAGCCAUAAAAAGAUCGAAAGGGGACUUUUUGUUAUGAUUUUUAAAAAUUCAGGGCCUAAAUCUGUGGUAAAACUUUUUCGAGAACCUACGUGUUGGUCCGGUACAAAUUUGAGGACUCGAGUAUUUGCGGAAUCCUCAUUGAUCUUCCACAGCCCAGAUCAUGUCUUUCAUUUAACUCAUCAUCAACGGGUCCACAAUGAAAAAGCCAAAAAUAAGCAAAAUAAAAGGAAGCCGGUGGAUGUAUUUUCCUUUCUGAACUGCCUCUUCUUGUUGAUUUUUCCUUUCGUUGUUUUAGGGCUAUGUCGUCGAUUGUCAAUUGACGGUCUAGCUAUCUUCUUAAUAUAUGUGUGCACGGUAUGUGUAAUUUCCUUUUUCUGUUUCUAUCGAUAAAUGAAAUUAGCCAUUGUGAGCAUUCUUGCUA